rnacentral:rRNA from 1 species
UUGACCUCGGAUCAGGUAGGGAUACCCGCUGAACUUAAGCAUAUCAAUAAGCGGAGGAAAAGAAACCAACAGGGAUUGCCCCAGUAACGGCGAGUGAAGCGGCAAGAGCUCAAAUUUGAAAGCUGGCUCCUUCGGGGUCCGCAUUGUAAUUUGUAGAGGAUGCUUCGGGAGCGGUCCCCAUCUAAGUGCCCUGGAACGGGACGUCAUAGAGGGUGAGAAUCCCGUAUGGGAUGGGGUGUCCGCGCCCGUGUGAAGCUCCUUCGACGAGUCGAGUUGUUUGGGAAUGCAGCUCUAAAUGGGUGGUAAAUUUCAUCUAAAGCUAAAUAUUGGCCGGAGACCGAUAGCGCACAAGUAGAGUGAUCGAAAGAUGAAAAGCACUUUGAAAAGAGAGUUAAAAAGCACGUGAAAUUGUUGAAAGGGAAGCGCUUGCGACCAGACUCGCUCGCGGGGUUCAGCCGGCAUUCGUGCCGGUGUACUUCCCCGCGGGCGGACCAGCGUCGGUUUGGGCGGUCGGUCAAAGGCCCUCGGAAGGUAACGCCCCUAGGGGCGUCUUAUAGCCGAGGGUGCAAUGC